CUGUAGUUUCUAUCUCAUCUGCUAUUCGUUUUGCUCCGAUAUGGCAACAGGGGAGCUCGGAAUCGAAUUCUGAGUGGGUAGGAGAAUUUUUACCUUUUUUGGCAAUUAGAGGUGGCUCCGAUAUGCCAGCAGUUGGGGGUUGGCUCUCUUCCGGCGACUAGUCCUUCUUUUUCGGCGGGACCCUGGUGGUUAGGGUUCGGGUUUAGUGUGAUGCAAAAUAUUUAUACCUAUCUCACAUUAAUUUGGACUGUUCAUCGCGUUUGAUCUCAACCGUUCAAUCACGCCUAAAGAGAAAAUGAAUCUAGAUCGUUCAUCGUGUUUGAUCUCCACUGUUUGGUUGCACCUAAGGGAUAAAUGGAUCAAGACUGUCCAUGCACGCGUGAUUACUUCUAGUUCGUUUGAUCGCGAGGCGCGCAGGUUGUCAGCAUGGCCUCCCGCGUGGCACCAAGUCAGCAUGUCUUGCCACGCGGCGGGCUCUGAUUCAUUGAGGCUGCUGACUGGACGGUCCUACGGGGUUAAAUUUUCCUUAUUUGUAUUCUGACUUCCAGUUUCUGAUUUUUCUUUCAAAAACACCACUCGAACCCAAAUUUUCAUUUAUUUU
rnacentral:lncRNA from 1 species